GAUGAACGCUGGCGGCGUGCCUAAUACAUGCAAGUCGAGCGAACAGACGAGGAGCUUGCUCCUUUGACGUUAGCGGCGGACGGGUGAGUAACACGUAGGUAACCUCCCUAUAAGACUGGGAUCACUUCGGAAAACCGGCGCUAAUACCGGAGAAUAUUCCGAACCGCAUGGUUGGAUAGUGAAAGUUGGCUUUGCUAUCACUUAUAGAUGCACCUGCGCCGUAUUAGCUAGUUGGUAAGGUAACGGCUUACCACGGCAACGAGACGUAGACGACCUGAGAGGGUGAUCGGCGACAUGAGAGGUGAGACGCGGUCCAUAGGCCUACGGGAGGCAGCAGAAUGGAAUCUGCCGCAAUGGGGGAAAGCCUUACGGAGCAACGCCGCGUGAGUGAUGACGAUCUUGGGAGCGUAAAACUGGGUUAUUAGGGGAAAACAAACGUGUAAGGAACCGAGCACGGCUUGACGGUAAUUAGUAAGAAAGCCACGGCUAACUACGUG
rnacentral:rRNA from 1 species